rnacentral:rRNA from 1 species
CAGUAGCCGCGGUAAUACGUAGGGUGCGAGCGUUAAUCGGAAUUACUGAGCGUAAAGCGUGCGCAGGCGGUUGUGUAAGACAGGUGUGAAAUCCCCGGGCUUAACCUGGGAACUGCGCUUGUGACUGCACAGCUAGAGUAUGGCAGAGGGGGGUGGAAUUCCACGUGUAGCAGUGAAAUGCGUAGAGAUGUGGAGGAACACCGAUGGCGAAGGCAGCCCCCUGGGCCAAUACUGACGCUCAUGCACGAAAGCGUGGGGAGCAAACAGGAUUAGAUACCCGCGUAGUCCCUGUCUCUUAUAC